rnacentral:rRNA from 1 species
CAGUCGUACCUGCGGACAAUCAGCUUUUUUGGGUGUGAUUAUGUGGAUUGUGAGGAGUUUAAUCACCCUCAUGUUUUACGUAUUCGUGCUCUUGGGUGUACUUGCCCGUGUGGUAGGUUAACAUCAAUUUUGGUCGUCAUAAAAUGAUUGGAGGAAUGUAGCUUUGAUCUCGUAUCGAAGUGUUAAUAGACUCUGGUAGAUGUGACGAUUGGGGAUUGAGGAUUGCAACGGAUACCCCGUUCGGGGGCCUACCCGUCUGAUCUC